rnacentral:lncRNA from 1 species
AUAACAACAGUGGAACCAGGUUCUAAGUCAGUAUCCAUGUCAGACUGGGAACCUGAGCCACACCAGAAACCUAUAACCCAGCCAGAGCCCUCAGCCAACUCAGGAUUGAAACCUCAGCACGAAUCCAAUACCCAACAGGAGUUUGCAUCACAGCAAAGACGCCUCACCCAGCAGGAGCCCCUUGCCCCAAAUGAAGCUGAAUUCCAGCAAGAAACUAGAGCCCAACAAAAAUCUGCUUUGCACCUGAAAUUUCUUAAACUACAGAAAUCACCCUCCAUCCCACUACAGAAAUCACCCUCCACCCAAAAGGUGUACGCCAAACAACAGGAAGCUGCCUCUCAGCAAGGACAUGGCCCAGGACAAGCGUGUACAACUCAACAGGAACCAGAAUUGAGAGACAGAGAUGUAGCCCAGUCAGGAUCUAGACCAUCUCUAGCUCAACAAGAUGCAGAAUUAACACCUACCACCCAGGCUAUCCCUGGACUCAAAAAGAGACCAUCUGUCCAGGCUGAAUUUACAUCCCAAGAAAGAACUGAACAGUCAGACCACACAGCCCAGCAAGUACCUCCAACCCAGCAAACCAAAUCCAGGAAGGGAUUUUUGACUGAGUGGAAAUUUCUAACAAGACUGUACGAAGUCACUACACAGCAAGUAACUCAAGAACAGAAGACAUUUUUUGAACGCCUCACAGAUUAUGACUUAGAAUCAAAUGGGAGGCCAUCUUCAGAGACAGAUCCGCCAAGUAUGAGGGAUGGAACAA